GCCGGAGUGGUGGAAUGGCAGACGCGCCGCACUCAAAAUGCGGUGGGGCGACGCCCCGUGUGGGUUCGAGUCCCACCUCCGGCA
rnacentral:tRNA from 1 species